rnacentral:misc_RNA from 1 species
AAAAUGCGAUACUUGGUGUGAAUUGCAGAAUCCCGUGAACCAUCGAGUUUUUGAACGCAAGUUGCGCCCGAAGCCAUUCGGCUGAGGGCACGUCUGCCUGGGCGUCACGCAUCGCGUCGCUCCCCCAACAUUUCCUUUGAGAUGCUUUGGACGGGAGCGGAUAUUGGCCUCCCGUUUUUACCGAGCGGUUGGCCAAAAUAAAGGCACCUAUUGACGGGCGCAAGACUAUUGGUGACAAAACCAUGAAAUCUGUUGCGUGUCUCAUCAAAAGGUUGCUUAUUGACCCAACGCGUUGUCUUCUGAUGACGCUUCGACCGCGACCCCAGGUCAGGCGGGACUACCCGCUGAGUUUAA